CGGUACAUCGGUGACAGGUGGUGCAUGGUUGUCGUCAGCUCGUGUCGUGAGAUGUUGGGUUAAGUCCCGCAACGAGCGCAACCCCUAUUGUUAGUUGCCAUCAUUCAGUUGGGCACUCUAGCGAGACUGCCGGUAAUAAACCGGAGGAAGGUGGGGAUGACGUCAAAUCAUCAUGCCCCUUAUGACCUGGGCUACACACGUGCUACAAUGGUUGGUACAACGAGUUGCGAGUCGGUGACGGCGAGCUAAUCUCUUAAAGCCAAUCUCAGUUCGGAUCGCAGUCUGCGACUCGACUGCGUGAAGUCGGAAUCGCUAGUAAUCGUGAAUCAGAAUGUCACGGUGAAUACGUUCCCGGGCCUU
rnacentral:rRNA from 1 species